CCUACGGGGAGCAGCAGUGGGGAAUAUUGGACAAUGGGGGAAACCCUGAUCCAGCGACGCCGCGUGAGUGAAGAAGUAUUUCGGUACGUAAAGCUCUAUCAGCAGGAAAGAAAAUGACGGUACCUGACUAAGAAGCGCCGGCUAACGACGUGCCAGAAGCCGCGGUAAUACGUAGGGGGCAAGGGUUAUCCGGAUUUACUGGGUGUAAAGGGAGCGUAGCCGGCAGCGCAAGUCUGGAUUGAAAUGCCGGGGCCCAACCCCGGAACUGCUCUGGAAACUGGGAAGCUGGAGUGCAGGAGCGGUAAGCGGAAUUCCUGGUGUAGCGGUGAAAUGCGUAGAUAUCAGGAGGAACACCGGCGGCGAAGGCGGCUUCCUGGACUGUAACUGACGUUGAGGCUCGCAGGCGUGGGGAGCAAACAGGAUUAGAUACCCUGGUAGUC
rnacentral:rRNA from 1 species